GAAACGAGAACAGGUGGACACAGUUGAUAAAAUGAGCACACUGAGCCCUGAAGAACAUGGAACCCUGGAAAACAGGAAAAGGUAGACCAUUACAAUAAUGGCAGCGAUGCCAGGAUUGACUGAAAAUACUUUAAAGGAACAUUUUUGGUGACGAAUAAACAGCUUGAAGCAAGUUCACUUUGUACUUGAACUGCUAGCGAGGAAAAAAAAUAUAUCAGCCAACUCCUGCCUAGCAUAAACAGUACCAAUUAAAUGAGGAGUCGCAAGAAAGAAAGAAAGAAAGGAAGGAAGAGUCUACAAAGCUGUCAGAGUCCAGCUCAAGUGCAUCCAAACUCGGCUCUUGGCACCAUCAUGAUUCAUUAACCCAGAAGCGUGUGGUGCUCAGAUGCCUGUGGGCUCGCACACAAAACAACUCUUCACUUCACUUCUGCUUCUCCGGGCUGUUCUUUAAAAAGAAACAUCUUCACGGCGGUUCAUUAGACCUUCAAACGCUCCCAUUGCUGAACACGCGCAGUAAAAAUGCCAUUUUCCGAAAGGGUCAGUCUGGUGAAAAAAGAUUGGCGUCAAGAACGUGUGACGAGAGGAAGUGGAAUGUCCUUGUCGGCCGCAUCACGAGAUCAAAUCCGCCAACCACUCAAACGUGUUCCCAUACCUGUCGUCGCACUUCACUUCUUACUUCUGAAUAUUAACAGAGGCUAUCUCAUCUUUACGCUUCUGCGAUUGAUAAACUCUUACUUAAAAUUGCUACCAUGGUGAGUAAACAAUUUUAUGAUUACAACAGUGUGACUGGAAUGUAAUUCUAUUCAUUUUAUGUCCUAUGGGGAAAAUACUGAAGUCCACCAGCAACCCAGAAAAGACUGCGUUUGACCACUGUACACACUUUUGAUUAUAUCUAUUCUAAUUAUUGCCCUAAUUGGGUUCCAUGUAUCACAGCGCAUGUAUUAUUGAAGAAUUAAUAUUUUCUCCUGUCCAAUUAAUUAAAAAACAGUGGGUCGCCAUUCCUGGUAGCUCUUCCAUCCACUACAUGUUCAGAGUUUACUCAAGUUAACAUUGAAAUGCUGGCAGACUAUAACGUCUCAUUCAUUCUUAUCAACGUCUCAGGAAAAGCAAUUUCAAGCCAAUUUUCUUCCUCCUCCUCCUCUUCUUCUGCGUUUCGCCACUCUUUUGGCGUGGCCAUGUGACAGACUGGCCUCUCGGAUGUUCAGCUGCUAA